rnacentral:lncRNA from 1 species
UACCUAAUUACCUAAUUACCUAAUUGCAUAGUAGGUAGCAUGAUGCAGAUGCAGCCACAUGGGAUGGGAGAAGAUGGCCAAAUGGGACGGUAGAGUCCCAAGUUGCAAGUGCAAAUAGACUAAACACUGUCAGUGGUCCCCCAGAUCAGCAGCACCACAUGAUAAGGACAGUAGCAUUACUUAUCAGACUUAAUCACGGACGGGCCACAUAGAAAUCUGGAGCUCUAGCGUACGUAUUGAUCUGCAUAGUUACAUAUCAUUUGUAUUUGGUCGGGUAACCCAACCCAAUUCACAUCACGUGCUAACACGUGUGAGCCCAUUUUCAAAGUUUAUGCAUUCAUUGGACUCGGCCAUAGUGGCCCAGUCACCCAACUGAAAUAUUUUAUAGUACCUAUAAUCAGUUCAGUACUGCCGUUUGUUUUCUCUCCUCUCUCUUUUUUUUCUUUUUUCUUUUUUUUUUUUUGGGUCAACUGAAAGUUCAUUCUUUACUUGCUGUUAUAUAUUACUAGUCUCUCUGCACGCGCUUCCGCGCUUGUGAGAGGCAUUUUUUAAAAAAAAUUUUAAAAUUUUUUUAGAAUUAAAAAGUGUUCCAUAAAAAUAGGAUCCAUUAUUUUUUAUUUAAUUUUAAUUUUUUAUAAAAAGUGUGAAUUUACCAUAUUAUCCUCAUUUAAUUAAUAAGUUUAGUUCUUAAUGUUUGCAUUAACCAAGGAUAUUUUCUGGUAUUUUGAAUGUUUCACCAUUCUCUGCCUUUUGCUUUAUAUAUAUAGAUAUACACACAAAUUGAAAUGGGCACAUGCAUGCGCAUUUGAUAAAAAGAAGCCAAGUCAGAGAAAGCAUGAAUCAAAGCACAUGUUAAUUUUGUUUUAGAGUUAGAUGGAUCCAAAUAGGCAUGGUUUUAGCUAAUUUUAUUUAAAUGAAUUCGAAAACCAAACAGAAAACUUUACGUGACUCUUUUUCUUUUUUUUUUAGGAUUUUUUCUAUUGAGAGGGGCGAUAGCAUACUAAACUCACACACACUACACAGAUACUAGGAUUCGAACCCAAAACCUUGCAUGAGAUAAUAAAUACUUCAUAUCACUACACUAGUGGGUCAUUUGCACAUGACCUGUUAUAUUAUACUAGAAUGAAUCAAAGGCAUGGACCAUGGAACAAGUACAAGUACAUGGGCGGCCUUAGAGAAAAGAUGCUUUUUCAUAUUCCAAACUGAAGAAAACUUCACAUGACCAUUGACCUGGCUUGUAGAAUAAGCAGUGCUCAAGUACAUGGGCGGCCUUAUACGUAUAUUGUUAAUGUUGUAGUAAAUGAAUGUACAGCGAAGCUUUGAGAGCAAGUUUCCUCCCGUCCUUGUUUGACUAUGAGUUCAAUAUAGUGAAAAAUCAAUUCAAACCAAACAAAGCGUUAGACAAAUUAAUGUUCAAUAAUUUGUCGUAUAUUUGACUUUCAUUUUCAU